UUUUCUUCCGCUUAGUUAUAUGCCCAAAUUCAGCGGGUAUUCAUGGCUGAGCUGAAGUUAACUAAAAGCUAUUAAACUUUCAGUGGGCAUGAAGUUUCGCUUCCUUAAAUGAUCUAAAGCAAUAACACUGAAUGCGUCCUCCAAAUAGGCCAUUUUCAGUAAGCAGAACUGGUGCUGUGGGAAUGAACCAAGCGUCGCGUUAAGCAGUCAAACUUUCCGCCCAAGUGACCUCAUGAAAAGCGUUGGCUGAUACGGAGAACGGGAUGUUGGCCAUGGAAGUCGGAAGCCGCUGAGCAGUGUGCAGCAACUCCCACCUGGCGAAUCAACUAGCCCUGAAACUGGAUGACGCUUGAGCGGGAUCAUCUGAAUAAUUCUGGGAAGCUACUCUCAGAGCAUG
rfam:Gongylonema pulchrum genome assembly, scaffold: GPTH_scaffold0030112